rnacentral:tRNA from 1 species
GGGUGCGUAGCUCAGGGGUAGAGCGCCUGCCUUACAAGCAGGAUGUCGGCGG